rnacentral:rRNA from 1 species
GAUGAACGCUGGCGGCGUGCCUAAUACAUGCAAGUCGAGCGAACGGACGAGAAGCUUGCUUCUCUGAUGUUAGCGGCGGACGGGUGAGUAAAACGUGGAUAACCUACCUAUAAGACUGGGAUAACUUCGGGAAACCGGAGCUAAUACCGGAUGAUAUUUUGAACCGCAUGGUUCAAAAGUGGAAGACGGUCUUGCUGUCACUUAUAGAUGGAUCCGCGCUGCAUUAGCUAGUUGGUAAGGUAACGGCUUACCAAGGCAACGAUGCAUAGCCGACCUGAGAGGGUGAUCGGCCACACUGGAACUGAGACACGGUCCAGACUCCUACGGGAGGCAGCAGUAGGGAAUCUUCCGCAAUGGGCGAAAGCCUGACGGAGCAACGCCGCGUGAGUGAUGAAGGUCUUCGGAUCGUAAAACUCUGUUAUUAGGGAAGAACAUAUGUGUAAGUAACUGUGCACAUCUUGACGGUACCUAAUCAGAAAGCCACGGCUAACUACGUG